rfam:Ictidomys tridecemlineatus contig044469, whole genome shotgun sequence.
GUGGUUGUGGCUCAGUAGUAGAGCACCUGCCUAGCGUGUGUAAGGCACUGAGUUCGAUUCUCAGCACCACA